GAAACAAAGAAAAAAUUAAACACAAAACAGAGUUGUUGAGUCUAGCUAAAAACAAAAGAGCCGAAUUUACAUAUAUAAAGUCGUUGAGUAUUAAGACUUUGCGGUCUUACAAUUACUCAAGAAGCAGAGAUUAAGUCAAAAUCUCUCCCAAAUUAUAUCUCCUUAUGCAAAAUAGAGCUACAUAAAAAAAAA